GCUUCCCCACUAACAUUUGGCACGGGUAGGAAUGGUUUAGGUGUGCUCAGUUUUGGCCUAAAUGGUUAUCGAACGAGCCUAAAUGUUUGUUUCAAUUCUCUGCCCCUGUUGUUGGUGGAUUUCAAGUUAUUUACAAAAUUGCCACCUUUCGGUGAGGGUUUCAGGGAUGGGAGGCCAUGCCGCUCUGGGAUAAAGAUAGACAGACAGAGGGAGAGGGAGACAGAGCGACAGAGAGAAAGGGAGAGGGAGGAGUGGGGAUCUCAGUACCAUUGCUACAGAUCCUCGAUUUCAUGAGUGGGAGAGGGGGUACAGUCAGAGAAAAGUAUGGGGGCCGUCGGGAUUUGAGGGGGAAGGGUAUGGAUCGGGGCCGGGGAUCUGGGUUUGUCCCUUUGGGCUGUUUGCGACCUCUCUUAGCGACUUACUCCGGCUUCCGAUGAUGGAAACACUAAAUCAUUCACUCCUCAAUCAAUGAUGCUGACCAAAGAUUACGGAGUUGAGUACCAGGAUGAGGAGACUAGGAAUGAGUUUUGGCUCUUAAUAAUUGCUGCUCUGUUGCUUGGAAUUGUCAGUGCUUUCAGUUCGACUUCAACAAUACUAUAUGUGCAUCUUAAAGUUAUAGGAAUAUAAUUUACAUUUCAGAAUUUAAUUUAUUUAAGUGUUUUGCUAAAACACAAACACUGAGACUUGGUGGUGGCCUGCACUUUGCAGCCACAACUAAGACCAAGGGGUUGAUUUUUA